GACAGAGGGUGCAAACGUUGCUCGGAAUCACUGGGCGUAAAGGGCGUGUAGGCGGGAAGGUAAGUCGGGCGUGAAAUCCCUGAGCUCAACUCAGGAACUGCACUCGAAACUACUUUUCUUGAGUGCCGGAGAGGAAAGCGGAAUUCCUGGUGUAGAGGUGAAAUUCGUAGAUAUCAGGAGGAACACCGGUGGCGAAGGCGCCACUCUGGGCCGAAACUGACGCUGAGGAGCGAAAGCGUGGGUAGCAAACAGG
rnacentral:rRNA from 1 species